AUUGAACGCUGGCGGCAGGCCUAACACAUGCAAGUCGAGCGGAUGACGGGAGCUUGCUCCUUGAUUCAGCGGCGGACGGGUGAGUGAUGCCUAGGAAUCUGCCUGGUAGUGGGGGACAACGUUUCGAAAGGAACGCUAAUACCGCAUACGUCCUACGGGAGAAAGCAGGGGACCGUCGGGCCUUGCGCUGUCAGAUGAGCCUAGGUCGGUUUAGCUAGUUGGUGGGGUAAUGGCUCACCAAGGCGACGAUCCGUAACUGGUCUGAGAGGAUGAUCAGUCACACUGGAACUGAGACACGGUCCAGACUCCUACGGGAGGCAGCAGUGGGGAAUAUUGGACAAUGGGCGAAAGUCUGAUCCAGCCAUGCCGCGUGUGUGAAGAAGGUCUUCGGAUUGUAAAGCACUUUAAGUUGGGAGGAAGGGCAGUAAGUUAAUACCUCGCAGUUUUGACGUUACCGACAGAAUAAGCACCGGCUAACUCUGUGCCAGCCGCCGCGGUAA
rnacentral:rRNA from 1 species